GACAGAGGGUGCAAACGUUGUUCGGAAUUACUGGGCGUAAAGAGCUCGUAGGCGGCUUGUCGCGUCGACUGUGAAAACCCGCGGCUCAACUGCGGGCCUGCAGCCGAUACGGGCAGGCUAGAGUUCGGUAGGGGAGACUGGAAUUCCUGGUGUAGCGGUGAAAUGCGCAGAUAUCAGGAGGAACACCGGUGGCGAAGGCGGCGUUCUGGACUGUUACUGACACUGAGGAACGAAAGCCAGGGGAGCAAACGGG
rnacentral:rRNA from 1 species